rnacentral:rRNA from 1 species
AUUGAACGCUGGCGGCAGGCCUAACACAUGCAAGUCGAACGGUAACAGGAAACAGCUUGCUGUUUCGCUGACGAGUGGCGGACGGGUGAGUAAUGUCUGGGAAACUGCCUGAUGGAGGGGGAUAACUACUGGAAACGGUAGCUAAUACCGCAUAACGUCGCAAGACCAAAGAGGGGGACCCUCGGGCCUCUUGCCAUCGGAUGUGCCCAGAUGGGAUUAGCUUGUUGGUGGGGUAACGGCUCACCAAGGCGACGAUCCCUAGCUGGUCUGAGAGGAUGACCAGCCACACUGGAACUGAGACACGGUCCAGACUCCUACGGGAGGCAGCAGUGGGGAAUAUUGCACAAUGGGCGCAAGCCUGAUGCAGCCAUGCCGCGUGUAUGAAGAAGGCCUUCGGGUUGUAAAGUACUUUCAGCGGGGAGGAAGGGAGUAAAGUUAAUACCUUUGCUCAUUGACGUUACCCGCAGAAGAAGCACCGGCUAACUCCGUGCCAGCAGCCGCGGUAAUACGGAGGGUGCAAGCGUUAAUCGGAAUUACUGGGCGUAAAGCGCACGCAGGCGGUUUGUUAAGUCAGAUGUGAAAUCCCCGGGCUCAACCUGGGAACUGCAUCUGAUACUGGCAAGCUUGAGUCUCGUAGAGGAGGGUAGAAUUCCAGGUGUAGCGGUGAAAUGCGUAGAGAUCUGGAGGAAUACCGGUGGCGAAGGCGGCCCCCUGGACGAAGACUGACGCUCAGGUGCGAAAGCGUGGGGAGCAAACAGGAUUAGAUACCCUGGUAGUCCACGCCGUAAACGAUGUCGACUUGGAGGUUGUGCCCUUGAGGCGUGGCUUCCGGAGCUAACGCGUUAAGUCGACCGCCUGGGGAGUACGGCCGCAAGGUUAAAACUCAAAUGAAUUGACGGGGGCCCGCACAAGCGGUGGAGCAUGUGGUUUAAUUCGAUGCAACGCGAAGAACCUUACCUGGUCUUGACAUCCACGGAAGUUUUCAGAGAUGAGAAUGUGCCUUCGGGAACCGUGAGACAGGUGCUGCAUGGCUGUCGUCAGCUCGUGUUGUGAAAUGUUGGGUUAAGUCCCGCAACGAGCGCAACCCUUAUCCUUUGUUGCCAGCGGUCCGGCCGGGAACUCAAAGGAGACUGCCAGUGAUAAACUGGAGGAAGGUGGGGAUGACGUCAAGUCAUCAUGGCCCUUACGACCAGGGCUACACACGUGCUACAAUGGCGCAUACAAAGAGAAGCGACCUCGCGAGAGCAAGCGGACCUCAUAAAGUGCGUCGUAGUCCGGAUUGGAGUCUGCAACUCGACUCCAUGAAGUCGGAAUCGCUAGUAAUCGUGGAUCAGAAUGCCACGGUGAAUACGUCCCCGGGCCU